AAAUCAGAUUUUCCAUCUUCCUCCUCUGUAACUCACGCGAUCAAAAUUCCUCCCUCCUCCAUUUUCGUUUUUCUUUGCUUCCUUUCUUCAAGAUUAGAAACCCACAGCUUGGUGAGUGAUAGGAUGAGGAUUUCUUAACUUCACUCUCCCUCGUUGAUUCGAAAACGAAGAAAAACGGUGUUAGGAAUUUGAAAACCGUCAAACACAAACCCCUCCGUUUCAUCUAGAUCUAAGCUUCAUUUCGCGAAGAGAUAGAAGAGAAAGUUGCUAGGGGACCAACUUGGAGGCGUCGUUGCGAGCGAAGAUUUUUACCGGAUUUACUCGCAGAACCGGAAACGCACGUUAAAUCUAACGUUAAGGUAAGGGCUCCUUCCAAACUUUUAGUUUGCAUUUAGGGGCUUAUCUGUAGUUGUGUGGAAAGGAAUCUGUUAGGGUUGAAUGAAUUGAUUUAGUGAAAAUGAAUCUAAGGUUCUGUGGGUAAAGUCUUAGAGUUAGGUCUUGACGAUAUUGAUGGGUGUUUCGUAGAAAAUGAACUUAACUCAUUUGUGUAUGAUUAUGGGUAAAUGAAAUUUGAUGUGUUUGAGUGUUAUGUUGUG
rnacentral:lncRNA from 1 species